rnacentral:rRNA from 1 species
AAAGAAACUAACAAGGAUUUUCUUAGUAGCGGCGAGCGAAAAGAAAUCAGUUCAGCACUAAGUCACUUUGUCUAUAUGGCAAAUGUGAGAUGCAGUGUAUGGAACAUCAAUAUUCUAGUAUGAGAAAUUAACGAUUUAAGUCCUUCUUAAAUGAGGCCAUUUACCCAUAGAGGGUGCCAGGCCCGUAUAACGUUAAUGAUUACUAGAUGGUGCUUCCAAAGAGUCGUGUUGCUUGAUAGUGCAGCACUAAGUGGGUGGUAAACUCCAUCUAAAACUAAAUAUAACCAUGAGACCGAUAGUAAACAAGUACCGUGAGGGAAAGUUGAAAAGAACUCUGAAUAGAGAGUUAAAUAGUACGUGAAACUGCUUAGAGGUUAAGCCCGAUGAACCUGAAUAUCCGUUAUGGAAAAUUCAUCAUUAGAAUUGUAAUAUUAUAAUCAAUAUUAUAAUAAUAGUGUGCAUUUUUUCCAUAUAAGGACAUUGUAAUCUAUUAGUAUAUUAAAUUUAUCAAAAAAUUUUGACUUAUAGUUUAUUUAAAUUAUUAUGCUUGCAUUUUAACAUAAAAUAAAUGUCAUAAAUUUGAUAAAGUACUGAUAGAUUUAUAUGAGUACAGUGCGUUAAUUUUUCGGAAUUAUAUAAUGGCAUGAUUAUCAUUGAUUUUUGUGUUUAUUAUAUGCACUUGUAUGAUUAACAAUGCGAAAGAUUCAGGAUACCUUCGGGACCCGUCUUGAAACACGGACCAAGGAGUCUAACAUAUGUGCAAGUUAUUGGGAUAUAAACCUAAUAGCGUAAUUAACUUGACUAUUAAUGGGAUUAGUUUUUUGACUAUUUAUAGUUAAUUAACACAAUCCCGGGGCG